rnacentral:rRNA from 1 species
CUACGGGGCGCAGCAGUGGGGAAUAUUGCGCAAUGGAGGCAACUCUGACGCAGCCAUGCCGCGUGCAGGAAGAAGGCCUUAUGGGUCGUAAACUGCUUUUAUUUAGGAAUAAACCCCCGAACAUGUUCGGGGCUGAAGGUACUAAACGAAUAAGCACCGGCUAACUCCGUGCCAGCAGCCGCGGUAAUACGGAGGGUGCAAGCGUUAUCCGGAUUUAUUGGGUUUAAAGGGUGCGCAGGCGGGCUAUUAAGUCAGUGGUGAAAUCCCGGGGCUCAACUCCGGAACUGCCAUUGAUACUGAUAGUCUUGAGUUUGGUUGAAGUGGGCGGAAUGUAGCAUGUAGCGGUGAAAUGCAUAGAUAUGCUACAGAACACCAAUCGCGAAGGCAGCUCACUAAGCCAAAACUGACGCUCAUGCACGAAAGCGUGGGGAUCAAACAGGAUUAGAUACCCCCGUAGUC